rnacentral:piRNA from 1 species
ACCGGGACGUCAUCAUUGACCAGCUGC